rnacentral:misc_RNA from 1 species
AACUUUUGGCAAUGGAUCACUUGGCUCUUGCAACGAUGAAGAACGCAGCAAAGUGCGAUAAUUAGUGCGAUUUGCAUGAAUCUGUGAGUCAUCAAGUAUUUGAACGCAACUUGCGCUCCCUUGGAGCAUGUCUGUUUGAGUGGUGUAUUACCAACGAUACAUGUGAGUGUGGAUGAAAAUGUGAGUUGCAUUUGCAUUUGCAUUGCAUUCGAUUGUGAAUUGCUAGUCCAGUGCGUGUCUAGUUAAAUAGAGAUGAUAUUUCAUGGAGGAGAAGGGUCUUUCUUUAAAGUUAGAGACUGCAAGUCUUGUUUGGAGAAGGACCAAUCCAUCCACCUAUUACCACCCUCAAAUCAGUCAAGACUACCCGCUGAACUUAAGCAUAUCAAUAAGCGGAGGCU